rnacentral:lncRNA from 1 species
CGGAGACAAUUUGACUUCCUCUCUUCCUAUUUGAAUACCCUUUAUUUAUUUCUCUUGCCUGAUUGCCCUGGCCAGAACUUCCAAUACAAUGUUGAAUAGGAAUGGUGAGAAAGGGAAUCCUUGUCUUGUGCCAGUUUUCAAAGGGAAUGCUUCCAGCUUUUGCCCAUUCAGUAUGAUAUUGGCUGCAGGUUUGUCAUACAUAGCUCUUAUUAUUUUGAGAUACGUUCCAUCAAUACCUAGUUUAUUCAGAGUUUUUAGCAUGAAGGGGUGUUGAAUUUUAUCGAAGGCCUUUUCUGCAUUUAUUGAGAUAAUCAUGUGGUUUUUGUCUUUGGUUCUGUUUAUGUGAUGAAUUAUGUUUAUUGAUUUGCAUAUGUUGAACCAGCCUUGCAUCCCAGGGAUGAAGCAGACUUGAUCAUGGUGGAUACGCUUUGUGAUGGACUGCCCAACAGUUUUAAAUGUAAAUUGAAAGGGAUCUGGGUCUCUUCUCUGUGUCCCAGACCCCAGUACUGGUCCAAGCCCUGAAGACUGCACCCAGGAAAGUGGAGGUAUGGACAGAGGCAGCCGGUGCCUGAGGAAGCUCCACGGGGCAGGCAAGGCCCCCACGUCCAGUCUCAGCCCCUCUUUUGGCCACAUGCCGGAGAAGGAAAUUUUGUGCCUUGAAUAAUGAAUCCCCCUGGAGCCCACGGUACCUGUACUUCUCUUUAGUGUCCACUGAGAAUAACGUGUUCGACAUUCAAGUGACAACACUGGAAAGCAUUUCAAAGCCCUGGAGCCCCAGAACGCUGUACACCCCGACGGCUCUUCUGCCUGCCCUCUCUUUGGCUUCCAAAUGCAGCAAGCUCUUUCUUUACUUAAAAUGUGUUCAUCUUUCACACGCAUCCUGGAUGUACCACAGAAAGACAGUACAGAUAGGCAGGCUCUUAUUUCUGAAGCUGAGCUGGUCCCGCCCAGCACAAAGCUUUAAAGCUGCUAAGGCUCCAGGAUAUUAUCCAGUUUUUAAAAAUGGAAAAACUGGGAACAGGGAGGCUCAAUAUCUUGUCCCAGGCCCAAACAGGCUUUUCUGGAGUCAGUAUCAUUCAACUGGCUCAGGCUGGAUUUUCAUAAGAAAAGAUAAUAAACAUUUACUAAUGUAAUAAAAUAGACACCUUUUAAGUCACAAGCAGUAUCCAAACCUUUGGGACAUUCUAUGGUGCUGAACAGCUAUUUCAUAGAGGCUUUAUGUUAAGGAGCAAGUGCAGAAAAAAAUCUGAAAAUCUCAGUAAGAUGAGAAAACGAAAGCUUUACAAAAUGGUAGAAGAAAGUAGUCUCUCAUGCCUAAACUUCCAAAUAAGUUUUUGUUUGUUUGUUUUGGGUUUUUAGUUGAGCAUUCUUUCUGGUUUGAAAUAGAUUCAGAAGGCUUUUUAAAACAAGUCACUUUUGGCCAAAUAUAUUAAGGUAUAACCAAAUGAUACCAUAGAUCCAUUUAGAAAACAGAAAGUUCUUUACUGACAUGAAAGGAUUUCUAAGACAUAUUCAUAAGUAAAAAAGCAAAUAUACUACUAUUUG